rnacentral:rRNA from 1 species
UAAGGAAUAUUGCUCAAUGGCCGAAAGGCUGAACCAGCGACGCCGCGUGGAGGAUGAAGGCCGAAAGGUUGUAAACUCCUUUUGUGAAGGAAAAAUGGAGGGACUCGAAUAAGGUCCUAUCCUUGAUAGUACUUUAGGAAUAAGCCCCAGCUAACUACGUGCCAGCAGCUGCGGUAAAACGUAGGGGGCAAGCGUUAUCCGGAAUUACUGGGUGUAAAGGGUAUGUAGGCGGAUUUGUAAGUUGGGUGUAAAAACUCAGGGCUUAACCUUGAGCUUGUGUCCAAUACUGCAAGUCUAGAGAGCAGGAGAGGGAAGCGGAAUUCCCGGUGUAGGGGUAAAAUCCGUAGAUAUCGGGAGGAACACCAGUGGCGAAGGCGGCUUCCUAGACUGUCUCUGACGCUCAUGUACGAAAGCGUGGGGAGCAAACG